UACGUAGGGUGCGAGCGUUGUCCGGAAUUAUUGGGCGUAAAGAGCUCGUAGGCGGUCUGUCGCGUCGGUCGUGAAAACUUGGGGCUUAACCCUGAGCUUGCGGUCGAUACGGGCAUGACUGGAGUUCGGCAGGGGAGACUGGAAUUCCUGGUGUAGCGGUGAGAUGCGCAGAUAUCAGGAGGAACACCGGUGGCGAAGGCGGGUCUCUGGGCCGAUGACUGACGUGAGACGCGAAAGCGUGGGGAGCGAACAGG
rnacentral:rRNA from 1 species